AGUCUGGUGCCAGCAGCCGCGGUAAUUCCAGCUCCAAUAGCGUAUCUUAAAGUUGUUGCAGUUAAAAAGCUCGUAGUCGGAUUUUGGGAGUGAGAGCGGACGGUCCAUCGAAACGAUGUGUACCUUCGGUCCACUUCUUUGCUUCGCACUGCAUGCCGUGGCCAUUGAUUUGGUGGCGGUGUUAUGCGAGCGAUCAUUUACUUUGAAAAAAUUAGAGUGUUCAAAGCAGGCGAGUUACGGCCGUUGAAUAGUUCAGCAUGGGAUAAUGGAAUAGGACUUUCGUCUUAUUGCGUUGGUUUUCGAGACGAAGGUAAUGAUUAACAGGGACAGUUGGGGAUAUCAGUAUUUAAUUGUCAGAGGUGAAAUUCUUGGAUUUAUGAAAGACUAACUACUGCGAAAGCAUUUAUCAAGGAUGUUUUCAUUGAUCAAGAACGAAAGUUAGGGGAUCGAAGAUGAUCAGAUACCGUCGUAGUCCUAACCGUAAACUAUGCCGGCCAGGGAUUCGGAGACGUUACAAUUGGAAUGACUCCCCGAGCACCUUACGAGAAAUCACAAGCUUUUGGGUUCUGGGGGGAGUAUGGUCGCAAGGCUGAAACUUAAAGGAAUUGACGGAAGGGCACCACCAGGAGUGGAGCUUGCGGCUUAAUUUGACCCAACACGGGAAAACUCACCAGGUCCAGACACAAGAAGGAUUGACAGAUUGAGAGCUCUUUCUUGAUUUUGUGGGUGGUGGUGCAUGGCCGUUCUUAGUUGGUGGAGUGAUUUGUCUGGUUAAUUCCGUUAACGAACGAGACCUUAACCUGCUAAAUAGUUACGCGAACCGUCUGACGUGGGUUGAAGCCGCUAGUGCGUACGGUCCUAGCGGACCGUGCCACGGGCGGUGAAUGCCCUGAUGCGUUUGUGGCAACACUUCUUAGAGGGACUAUUCGUAUCUAGCGAAUGGAAGUUUGAGGCAAUAACAGGUCUGUAUGCCCUUAGAUGUCCUGGGCUGCACGCGUGCUACACUGAUGAAAUCAACGAGUCCACAACCUUGGCCGGAAGGUCUGGGUAUCUUCUGAAAUUUCAUCGUGAUGGGGAUAGAUCAUUGGAAUUAUUGAUCUUCAACGAGGAAUUCCUAGUAAGCGCAAGUCAUCAGCUUGCGUUGAUUACGUCCCUGCCCUUUGUACACACCGCCCGUCGCUCCUACCGAUGAAUGUUCCGGUGAGAACUUGGGAUUGUGACACGUUAGUCUGGGGCAACUUGGACUGUGUUGCGAAAACUUGUUCGAACCUUAGCAUUUAGAGGAAGGAGAAGUC
rnacentral:rRNA from 1 species